UAUUCUAUCUUUCUUUUCUCUUAGAGUCGUAUCAAAAUUGAAACCAUCCGAAUAAGUAGGUCUGUAACCAUGAUUCUCCACUUCAUUUCCAGGCCACAUAUGUACCGCUGAUCGAACGUUAUUUCGCUCAGCGUUGACCCAUAUAGGCUCCCCUUUAUCCCACCAAGUUGGGUCUUUGUUACAUUCAGGCAUACUGUUGACAAAUUGCUUCCCAGUUACAGGAUCAAAAAAGUUGUUACUAACGAUUCCAUGGCUCUCGGGAUAUAAACCGGUAACAAUAGUAUAGUGAUUAGGGAAAGUUAUACUAGGAAAAGAAGGAAUCAAAAAGGGAACAUGGACAUUACGUUCAGCCAGGCUCAGAAGAUUAGGUGUGAACCCACGAUAUAAGUAAUCAGCACGGAAUCCAUCCAAGGAGAUUACGAUGACAGUGGACUGAAAAACAUUGGUCCCAUUGUUGAAGGAACCUCCAACGAUAGGAAAAAUAAUUGCUUUGAAGCAAAAUAAUUUCACAAUUGCCAAUAUCAGAAUUCCUAAAAUGCAAAUAGCGGCAAUUGCUAGUCCCGAUCGUUUUGCCCAUUGAUUCAAAUAAGCCUUUCGAUCAUUUUUCAAAGGCAAAUACUCGUUGGACCCAAUAUUAGCCCAACUAAACAUUUCGGCGAAUGUU